rnacentral:rRNA from 1 species
UGGGGAAUUUUGGACAAUGGGCGAAAGCCUGAUCCAGCAAUGCCGCGUGUGUGAAGAAGGCCUUCGGGUUGUAAAGCACUUUUGUCCGGAAAGAAAUCCUUGGCCCUAAUACAGUCGGGGGAUGACGGUACCGGAAGAAUAAGCACCGGCUAACUACGUGCCAGCAGCCGCGGUAAUACGUAGGGUGCAAGCGUUAAUCGGAAUUACUGGGCGUAAAGCGUGCGCAGGCGGUUUGCUAAGACCGAUGUGAAAUCCCCGGGCUCAACCUGGGAACUGCAUUGGUGACUGGCAGGCUAGAGUAUGGCAGAGGGGGGUAGAAUUCCACGUGUAGCAGUGAAAUGCGUAGAGAUGUGGAGGAAUACCGAUGGCGAAGGCAGCCCCCUGGGCCAAUACUGACGCUCAUGCACGAAAGCGUGGGGAGCAAACAGGAUUAGAUACCCUGGUAGUCCACGCCCUAAACGAUGUCAACUAGUUGUUGGGGAUUCAUUUCCUUAGUAACGUAGCUAACGCGUGAAGUUGACCGCCUGGGGAGUACGGUCGCAAGAUUAAAACUUAAAGGAAUUGACGGGGUCAUAGCUGUUUCCU